rnacentral:tRNA from 1 species
UCCCUGGUGGCUCAGAGGUUAAAGCAUCUGCCUCCAAUACAGAAGACCCAGGUUUGAUCCCUGGAUCGGGAA